rnacentral:lncRNA from 1 species
GGGGGACAGGAAUUUCUAUUCCAGGUAAAAGGGGAGCAGAUUCCAUGUCUUGGACAGUCCCAGAGCAGAAGGGGAGCAGAUUCCAUGUCUUGGACAGUCGCAGAGCAGAAGGGGAGCAGGUUCCAAGUCCUGAACAGCCCUGGGGAGAAGGGGAGCUCCAUUCCCUGCACGUGGAGAGGCUCCUGAGCCAUUUCCUGCCGGGCCUGGGUUAUGUUGGUUCACUUUGGCUCCUGCCCUGGAUGCCACUUCCAUGACAUCACUUGGAGUGGAGGAGCUGUUAACCCAGGGCAUGCUGCUGCUGUGAUUUUCCCAGGAUGGCAGAGGAGCUGUGGUGGGAUCCUGAGGAGAUCAUGGAAUUUUCUUGGCUCCCUGCUGGCACUUCCAGGGAUCCAGGAGCAGCCACAGUUUCUCUGGGAAUCUUUUCCAGAGCCUCCCCUCCCUCACUGGGGAAAAUUCAAACCUAAAUCCAACCUAAAUCCUUCUCCAGAGCCCCCCUGAGAUGAUGUUCCCUGCUCUCUCUUCAUUCUGAAAAAUCCUUCUCUCUUCAUUUUGAAAAAUCUCCAUUUUUUGCUCCCACCAAAGCCUUUCCUGCUGCCUCUCUCCCUUUCCAUGGAUUUCCUCCUCUGCUUCCUCCCCUCUCCUCUCCCACUCUCCCUUGCUUGAAAUCCAUGGAAAAAAAUGUGCAGCCUCCCCGAGAGAACCCCUUGGCAAAGUCAUAACUUGUUAAGCGCCGUAAUUAAAAUAUUUCUCUCAUUAACUUGGAAAUGAUGUUUCUUCCUGAAUUAUGCCGGAGAUUUUUUUUUUCCCCCCUCACUAAUUAAAUUGCCAGUUUCAACAAAACUGUUCCAGAUCCAUGGGAUCCCAGGCCGAGCAGGAAAAUCCUUCUCCGAAGGAUUCCAGAUCCUUCUGUGCCACGCGGAGCAUCCUCCUCAAGCAGCAGCCGGGCACAAAUGUCCCCAGCUCCUUGUAGGAAAAGCAGGAAUAUUUUUGAGGGUUUUGGUGGUUUGCUGGCUGUUUGGGGAUGUCCCUGCAGGGUCCUGGCAG